AUUGAACGCUGGCGGCAUGCCUUACACAUGCAAGUCGAACGGCAGCACGGGAGCAAUCCUGGUGGCGAGUGGCGAACGGGUGAGUAAAGUAUCGGAACGUGCCCAGUCGUGGGGGAUAACGUAGCGAAAGUUACGCUAAUACCGCAUACGCUCUAUGGAUGAAAGCGGGGGAUCGCAAGACCUCGCGCGUUUGGAGCGGCCGAUAUCGGAUUAGGUAGUUGGUGGGGUAAAGGCUCACCAAGCCGACGAUCUGUAGCUGGUCUGAGAGGACGACCAGCCACACUGGGACUGAGACACGGCCCAGGCUCCUACGGGAGGCAGCAGUGGGGAAUUUUGGACAAUGGGCGAAAGCCUGAUCCAGUCAUGCCGCGUGCAGGAUGAAGGCCUUCGGGUUGUAAACUGCUUUUGUACGGAACGAAAAGGUUUGGCCUAAUAAGCUGAGCUCAUGACGGUACCGUAAGAAUAAGCACCGGCUAACUACGUGCCAGCAGCCGCAGUAA
rnacentral:rRNA from 1 species